ACUAUAGUGAAUAUUUGCUGGAGUGUAUUUACAGAUUUUGUAAGAAAUAUAAUAAAGUGAAUAUUUCUUUUUAUGUCACUCAUUCUUUACUUACAAAUGGAUUAAAAUAAGGUACACUUUUAUGAGAUUAUUACUGAAGCUACAUGUUUGUGUUUCAUAGAAAAGUUUCACUGAAAGUGAAAAAGAACGCCUUUUUGGAAAAGGUGUCACUGUGGAGGAUGUUCUUAAUCGCUUGGAUAAAGAUGGAAAUGGCAAGUUGAAUUUUCGUGAAGUCGUCAUGUUCAUUGAGGAAAAUGGAUUUUCAAUAGUAAAUUGCAGCCACGGGUUUAAAAGAGAGGAAGUGACGACAUUGCUGAAUCUUGUUCAGGCAAUUUAUACAGGACUAUCUUGUAACGUCACGCAAGUGGGAAUCAGUUCAGCAGAUGUGUCUAGAACAGUUGGCAUCAAUACUCAUUAUGUAGGGACAACGGUCUUUGACUACGAAAAGGAAGAUGUGGACUUUCUUAACAAGGAAUCCUAUAGAUCUACCAUGACAUUCUUGAAACAUUUUGCUGAAACAAAGAUGAAGUCUCGGAUGGAAAAAGAAAAACAGUAGAAUGCAUUUACCUGUGUAAUUACAUUGUCUUAAAUAAAAUAUUUUGGAAGCAGACUUAAUUCUUUUUAAAUUACUUUCUUUUAACAUGUUCAACAACAUUUAUAAAAUUGUAAUUGAUUUAAGAAGUUUGACAUUAUUUCUGCUCUGUCUGUCCUCCAUAAUUAAAAUAUGACCAUCCCAUUCUUUUCUUUUCUCGUUGUAUGUUUAUUGUUUUACCUUGUACAUAUGUAUAAGACUUUCAUUUAUGCUCUUGUAAAUGUAUCAUAUAUUCAUUUUUUUU